GCAGAAGGCUAUUUCAGAAAGUGGAAGGAAUCCAAUGGAAACUUGAGCCUGCCUGUCGACGUGACCUUGGCAGUGUUUGCUGUGGGGGCCCAGAGCACAGAAGGCUGGGAUUUUCUUUAUAGUAAAUAUCAGUUUUCUUUGUCCAGUACUGAGAAAAGCCAAAUUGAAUUUGCCCUCUGCAGAACCCAAAAUAAGGAAAAGCUUCAAUGGCUACUAGAUGAAAGCUUUAAGGGAGAUAAAAUAAAAACUCAGGAGUUUCCACAAAUUCUUACACUCAUUGGCAGGAACCCAGUAGGAUACCCACUGGCCUGGCAAUUUCUGAGGAAAAACUGGAACAAACUUGUACAAAAGUUUGAACUUGGCUCAUCUUCCAUAGCCCACAUGGUAAUGGGUACAACAAAUCAAUUCUCCACAAGAACACGGCUUGAAGAGGUAAAAGGAUUCUUCAGCUCUUUGAAAGAAAAUGGUUCUCAGCUCCGUUGUGUCCAACAGACAAUUGAAACCAUUGAAGAAAACAUCGGUUGGAUGGAUAAGAAUUUUGAUAAAAUCAGAGUGUGGCUGCAAAGUGAAAAGCUUGAACGUAUGUAAAAAUUCCUCCCUUGCCAGGUUCCUGUUAUCUCUAAUCACCAACAUUUUGUUGAGUGUAUUUUCAAACUAGAGAUGGCUGUUUUGGCUCCAACUGGAGAUACUUUUUUCCCUUCAACUCAUUUUUUGACUAUCCCUGUGAAAAGAAUAGCUGUUAGUUUUUCAUGAAUGGGCUAUCGCUACCAUGUGUUUUGUUCAUCACAGGUGUUGCCCUGCAACGUAAACCCAAGUGUUGGGUUCCCUGCCACAGAAGAAUAAAGUACCUUAUUCUUCUCAUUUUAUAGUUUAUGCUUAAGCACCCGUGUCCAAAACCCUGUACCCCAUGUUUAUCAUUCAUAAACUGUUUCAUCAGUCUCCUCGAAAGACUCUGAAUAGUCGACUACUGAACAAUGAACACCUGGAUCUGAGACUAAGCCGGACGAUGACUGGGUUAAAGCUCUCCCGGCUCACCCCUCCAGACCCGCUGCCCAUCCCUCUUCCUUGCUCCAUGCCCAGGGGCUGACUUGUAAAGGCCAAGUCAUCAAGCUUUCUUGCCCUUUGGAUGUUGGUCAGUGGGGAGCCGGAGAGCUGGAGCUGGGGUCGGAGGAGGUAGUAGGUGGAGGUGUUCUUCCCUGAUUCCCUUGCGGGAUGCCUCGGGCUGGCCUCCCCUGAGGGUCUUAGCUCCGAGAGGGGACCCUCUUUUCCACACAGCCUUCUCCACCUCUGGAUUUUGGUAACUGCUCCCUCCUCAUCCCUUCAGGAUUAGUGGCCUCAGUGGGAGUCUGGCUUUUACUAGUCCUGGCGGACUUGUGGUUUCUACAUAAUGUGCUCGCACUUUUGC
rnacentral:lncRNA from 1 species